UGAUUGAUUGAUUGAUUGAUUGAUUAGUUGGUUGGUUAGUUGGUUGGUUGGUUAAACACGUUGGAUAGGGUCAAUUGAAACAGCGAAAAAGAAACAAAGAAGAUCUUCGACCGUUUAUUAAACACAUGUGACGGAUACAUGAUUGAUUGAUCAUGAUCAUGAUCAUGAUUGAUUGAUUGAUUCAUUGAUUGAUUGAUAAUUGGUUGGUUGGUUGGUUAAACACUUUGGAUAGAGUCAAUUGAAACAGCGAAAGAGAAACAAAGAUCUUGGACCGUUUAUUAAACACAUGAGACGGAAACAUGAUUGAUUGAUCAUGAUCAUGAUCGAUUGAUUGAUUGAUUGAUUGAUUGAUUAUUUGGUUGGUUGGUUGGUUGGUUGGUUAAACACGUUGGAUAGGGUCAAUUGAAACAGCGAAAAAGAAACGAAGAAGAUCUUGAACCCUAUAAUUAACACAUGAGACGGAAACAUGAUUGAUUGAUUGAUCAUGAUCAUUAUUGGUUGAUUGAUCAUGAUUAUGAUUGAUUGAUUGAUUGAUUGAUUGGUUGGUUGGUUGG
rnacentral:lncRNA from 1 species